rnacentral:pre_miRNA from 1 species
UUAACUCAUAUUUGUAUGGAAUGAGAUCGUUUGCCUACGUUUGCCGUUAGGGGCGCUGUUCCAACUGCAUACAAAAUUGGGUUA